rnacentral:rRNA from 1 species
CACGUAGUUAGCCGGUGCUUUUUCUGCAGGUACCGUCACUCUCGCUUCUUCCCUGCUAAAAGAGGUUUACAACCCGAAGGCCGUCAUCCCUCACGCGGCGUUGCUGCAUCAGGCUUGCGCCCAUUGUGCAAUAUUCCCCACUGCUGCCUCCCGUAGGAGUCUGGGCCGUGUCUCAGUCCCAGUGUGGCCGGUCACCCUCUCAGGCCGGCUACCCGUCGACGCCUUGGUGAGCCAUUACCUCACCAACAAGCUGAUAGGCCGCGAGCCCAUCCCCAACCGAAAAAUCUUUCCAAACGUUGACCAUGCGAUCACGUCUCGUAUCCAGUAUUAGACGCCGUUUCCAGCGCUUAUCCCAGAGUCAGGGGCAGGUUGCUCACGUGUUACUCACCCGUUCGCCACUGAUCCACCCCGCAAGCGGGGCUUCACCGUUCGACUUGCAUGUGUUAAGCACGCCGCCAGCGUUCAUCCUGAGCCAGGAUCAAACUCU